CCUACGGGAGGCAGCAGUGAGGAAUAUUGGUCAAUGGACGAGAGUCUGAACCAGCCAAGUAGCGUGCGGGAUGACUGCCCUAUGGAUUGUAACCUUCUUUUAUAAAGGAAUAAAACGAGGCACGUGUGCCUUUUUGCAUGGCCUUUAUCAAUAGGGAUAGGCGAACUCCAUUCCAGAAGCCGGGGUAAUACGGAGGAGCUGAGGGGUAUGCGGAUUUAUUGGGUUUAAAGGGGGCGUCACUGGGUUUGUAAGUCAGUGGUGAAAUUUUGCGGACAACACGUAAAAUUGCAAUCGGUACUGGCAGUCUUGAGUACAGUUGAGGUAGGCGGAAUUCGUGGUGUAGCGGUGAAAUGCUUAGAUAUCACGAAGAACCCCGAUUGCGAAGGCAGCUUACUAAACUGUGACUGACAUUGAUGCUCGAAAGUGUGGGUAUCAAACAGGAUUAGAUACCCCGGUAGUC
rnacentral:rRNA from 1 species